UGAGAGAUUAAAGAGAGUUUAAGAGUGAUUAUGAGAGAUUGAGGUGUUUAGGUGUAAGUGUAAGAGAUAAUCAUGAUGAACUAAAGAGAGACACUCAUAAACUCUUGUGUUAUCUCAUUAAUCAAUCAGGUUACAAUAUAUAUAUGAGAGAGAGCUAGGGCAUUUCGAAAUACAAGCAUGUGAAGUCAAGGAUAAGAUGAGAGACUAUGGGAAAAGUAACCAAUGGGAUGAGCCACAUGCUUGGACACCUUUUGCUUUUACUUUCCAGGCUGUCCUUAGCUGUAGCCGCGCCUUAUCCAUCUGAUUCAACGGACUGAUUGUGGAUAAGGCUGUAACAAAGCUAAACUCCCAAGUUAACUCCCCUUAGGUAACUUUGGACCAUCUCCAUUACCCUAACUGUACGGCCUUGCCUUGUACGGCCUUGCCUUGUACGGACACCUCAACCAUAUUCAACUCAACUCUUCUAUCCUUCUCUAAUACUCCAUGCCUUCACCCUGAUACCUCUUCUCUUCUCUUAUUUUGUUCAACA
rnacentral:lncRNA from 1 species